GUGGGGAAUGGAUAUGUCUUGGAUGAAGGCUGGGAGGCAGACUGCUGAGAAGACCUACGGAAAGGCAACUAAAUUAGAGCUGCAGAUGUGCAAGCGUGACAGCAGGAAGGCCAUUGCCUGAGAAAGGCUGCAAGAUGGGAUAUCCCGUCCCAGGCAUGCUACCCCCAGGUUCUCCUUCCAGCUAGUCCCAGUGAUGUGGUGCCACUGGACCAAUGUGCCCCUGCCCAGGACACACACCUUCAGACGGGGUGCGCCGUAUGGGAGGACUAAACAGCACUUGGAUAUGUUAGCAGGAAGAGUAUCGAGCUGCUACGAUGAUGCAUUGUACAGAUUAUUUUUUUUCUGGCAGAAAGUUGUCUUGAGAAUUUGAGCAGAUGCACAGAUAGACUGAGAUUUUCAGAACAUCUAUUUUGGUCUUUAGAUCUUACUAAUUUGACCCCAGGGAGAAUUUUUAGUAAAACGCUGUAUGAAAACCUUUGUGAAUGGAAGCUCCCUACCAGGGAAUAUUGCACUUAUAACUGCCUAGUUAGGUAUUUAACUAAUGUUGAGAGGGUUGGAGUUUUUGUGCUUUUUUCUGUUUGUUUUUUUAAAAAAACAACCACACAUACACAUUUUCACAAAGUACAUACACUCAGU